CGCACGGGUGAGUAACACGUGAGUGACCUGCCUUUUAGACUGGAACAACUUACCGAAAGGUGAGCUAAUGCCGGAUGAGUUAUAUAAGUGCAUGUUUAUAUAGGAAAAGUUGGGGAGACCUGACGCUGAAAGAUGGACUCGCGUCCCAUUAGCUAGUUGGUAGGGUAAUGGCCUACCAAGGCGACGAUGGGUAGCCGGCCUGAGAGGGUGGCCGGCCACAUUGGGACUGAGACACGGCCCAAACCCCUACGGGAGGCAGCAG
rnacentral:rRNA from 1 species